rnacentral:lncRNA from 1 species
UUGCACCAUCACUACUUAAAGCAAAGCUCUACACGGUGCUGCGUUUUUCUCCAUUUGCAUUGGUGUUGACUAUUGCUGACUAUUUCUCCUGAGUCCUUCCUGAAAUACCUCUUGCAUUUCCCAGUGUAUAUUUUCAAAAAAUAUUCUGAAGGUGCCUAAGUUGCUAUUAUCCUGGGGAUCUGAAUGUCCUGAAAGAAAUUCCGCACGCCAAGCUGAACACUCUUCCUAAACUCCUGGGUGAUUAAGAAAUAGACUCU